UAAAUAGUGCCUUUGCUUUUUUGUGUUCGUUUCUGAAAUUUAUUUACUUUAUAGUGCCUGUUUUAAAUGAUUAAGCACAACUUGUUUUAGCUGGUUUUUAAAAAGAAAAGUAUAACUAUAAGUACUCUGAAUCCCUGAAGGAUGGCUGUAUUCUGAACCUGCCAGUGUGAAAUAGCAAAGUGACCCCCAAGGUGCAGGGUUGGACACAGGAUGGUGGACUCUUUCUCCUGCUGCCUUGCCCAGAAAGGGAACCAGCCUCCAGAGCUAUUCUUUUUCCUCUUGUCAACUCUGAACACAGCAAGUUUUGCUUGAAUUUCAGUGACCUUAAGAACUGUUUCUUUAAAUGAGUCCAGAUUUGAUUGGUUUAUUGUGUGGAACAAUUUAUGCUCCAGGGACUGUUGAAAUCAAUCAAUAGAGCAAUCAGCUGGAAGAAGCAAAAAUGA
rnacentral:lncRNA from 1 species